rnacentral:rRNA from 1 species
UACGUAGGGAGCAAGCGUUGUCCGGAUUUACUGGGUGUAAAGGGUGCGUAGGCGGUUCUGCAAGUCAGUUGUGAAAACUAUGGGCUUAACCCAUAGCCUGCAAUUGAAACUGUGGGACUUGAGUGAAGUAGAGGUAGGUGGAAUUCCCGGUGUAGCGGUGAAAUGCGUAGAGAUCGGGAGGAACACCAGUGGCGAAGGCGGCCUACUGGGCUUUAACUGACGCUGAAGCACGAAAGCAUGGGUAGCAAAC